rnacentral:rRNA from 1 species
UGGGGAAUUUUUCGCAAUGGGGGCAACCCUGACGAAGCAACGCCGCGUGGGUGAUGAAGUCUCUUGGGACGUAAAACCCUUUCGACGGGGAAGAAACCGCAAGGUUGACGGUACCCGUAGAAGAAGCCCCGGCUAACUCCGUGCCAGCAGCCGCGGUAAUACGGGGGGGGCAAGCGUUGUUCGGAAUUACUGGGCGUAAAGGGCGCGUAGGCGGUCUACUAAGUUGGAUGUGAAAACUCUGGGCUUAACCCAGAGCCUGCAUUCAAAACUGAUAGGCUGGAGUUCUGGAGGGGAUAGCGGAAUUCCUGGUGUAGCGGUGAAAUGCGUAGAUAUCAGGAGGAACACCGGUGGCGAAGGCGGCUAUCUGGACAGAAACUGACGCUGAGGCGCGAAAGCUAGGGGAGCAAACAGGAUUAGAUACCCUGGUAGUCCUAGCCCUAAACGAUGGAUACUUGGUGUGACUGGGAUUGAAUCCAGUCGUGCCGAAGCUAACGCAUUAAGUAUCCCGCCUGGGGAGUACGGUCGCAAGGCUGA